CUUUUUUGAUGUUUGGUGGGCUGAAAAUGAUUUUCUAAAGUAAAAUAUUUUACAAACAUGGGAAAAGUAAGUAUUUUUUUAAGGAAAAUGUCUUACCCUUUUGAAUUCGGUAAGACAUUUUUCGGGAAAUGACACCUUCUUCUCCCCUUUCCCCUUCACCUUCACCUUCCCCUUCCCCUUGGGUUGCAAAUUAGUUUGGUCAAGGACCUUUUCCGGUUCUUCGUCAUCUCCUUCUCCUUCUUCCGUUUUUCAUUUCUUUUCUGUUCUUCAUCUUCUCUUCCAGGCUUCUGAUUCUAUGGAGUAUGGUGAGAAUCUUGUCGGCUUGAAGGUAAAGGUCUGGUGGCCCAAAGACCGUGAGUUUUAUUAAGGUUUUAUUCAUUCAUUUGAUUCCGCUAAGAAGAAGCACAAGGUGCACUAUAAUGACGGUGAUGAAGAAAUUUUAAAUCUUAAGAGAGAAAAAUGGGCUGUGAUUGAAGACGAGUCAAGGUCAGAUGAGUAUGCAAGGUACAAGAUGUUGUUGAACUUUGGCCUGCAAUGCAAUAGCAAACCAACAUGCAGACCAGCAUCCAAGUUGAACCAGAGAAGCAGUAGCAUUUUGUUUAUUUUGUUCAUUUGUAACUUGAUUUAGUUCCAAUGUAAUUUAUACUUAAAGUUAGUAGGAGUAGUUGUUGAUUUAUGUUUGAUGUUAUGACUGGUAUGUUAGCUACAUUUUGUGUGUAAGCUAAGCUUUAGUCAUGUAUUAGUGGGAGCAGUUACACAUUAGGUAACUGGCAUAUUUCAUUGUAACAUAAAUGCUUCUCAAGUCAACGAAAAAGAUCUGAUUUUUGGAGAUCAAA